AUGGAGAGGUUCCAAUACCGGUUGGCUCGAUCAACCGGUAACAACCCACAUGAUGUUAAUGCGAAAAGCAUGAAUAACAAUAAUUUGUGGGUUGAGAGGAACGUUAACUCUCCAUCUUUAUACUCUAAUUAUAUCAACAAGAUGUCGCGAGAACAUCCCGUGGCAAAGACAAAGAGCCCAUCAUGGUGGAAUGAUCCAGAGAGAAAAAGAAAGAGAAGAGUGGCUAAUUACAAGUUUUAUGCAGCUGAAGGUGGGUGUUUGGUCAAAUGUAAAUGA